rnacentral:rRNA from 1 species
UGGGGAAUAUUGGACAAUGGGCGCAAGCCUGAUCCAGCAAUACCGCGUGUGUGAAGAAGGCCUGAGGGUUGUAAAGCACUUUCAAUUGGGAGGAAAAAGGCAGGCCCAAUACGCCUGCCCUUGACAUUACCUUUAGAAGAAGCACCGGCUAACUCCGUGCCAGCAGCCGCGGUAAUACGGAGGGUGCGAGCGUUAAUCGGAAUUACUGGGCGUAAAGCGUGCGUAGGCGGCCCGCCAAGCCAGAUGUGAAAGCCCUGGGCUCAACCUGGGAACGGCAUUUGGAACGGGCGGGCUAGAGUUGGGUAGAGGGGGGCGGAAUUCCGGGUGUAGCGGUGAAAUGCGUAGAUAUCCGGAGGAACACCAGUGGCGAAGGCGGCCCCCUGGACCCAAACUGACGCUGAGGUACGAAAGCGUGGGUAGCAAACAGGAUUAGAUACCCCCGUAGUCCCUGAGCGGGCUGGCAAGGCGCAU